UUGCACGUCGCGACUGGCAGGCUAUGCUUUCUUCACUUGUAAACAUCGGCUACAUGUAUUCGGGCAUGUAGUUCAUGUGAGCGCGAGGCUCCUCCAGCUGCAAGACCCUCCUUCAUUCUCGCACCGCAGCCCAGUCUGCCCAACCGAGCAGACUGAAUAACAAAUUACCUUUCUCUCAAUCCAAAGGAUUUGUAUUCUUUAAAUUCGCGUACUGUAGGCGACGAGCGCUCACCAUCCUCUGCUGUACGGGACUGUGGACAAUGUUUCUCUUGCAGUAUAGAGGACUGAAUCCGCUAUCCUUUGACCCGUCCUCCAACAACGAGCCCCUGCAGUUCAGCAACUCCAACGGGCCACUGGUGUCAGACUGUCCUCUGGAAAACGGAGCUGAGAACCGCAAUAAGAGGAAGAGACCCAGCCUACCUCCAGAAGGGAUUCAUAACAUGUCCAUGGACUCCAGCCCAAUGACAAUGCCUAUGUCAAACCCCAACGCCUGGGCCACAGCUAUGAAUAACCUGGGCAUGGCUCCCAUGGGCAUGACAGGACAACCCCUUAUGUCAGAUUUCGACUCAGGCCUUGGCAUGAUGACGGGCAUCGCUCCCAUGAACCCCAUGAUGCCUGGCCUUGGUUACGUACCCCCGCCCCCCCUUCCCCAAGAUCUGCCCAUCGUCAAGGAGAUCAUCCACUGCCAAAGCUGUACCCUCUUCCCCCCCAACCCACACCUUCCCUCUCCGGCCAUGAGGGAGCGCCCUCCAGGUUGUAAAACGGUGUUUGUGGGCGGUCUGCCAGAGAAUGCCACCGAGGCACUCAUCGUGGAGGUGUUUGGCCAGUGUGGUGACAUCAUCGCCAUCCGCAAGAGCAAGAAGAACUUCUGCCACAUCAGAUUCACUGAAGAGUUCACUGUAGACAGAGCCCUCUUCUUGUCUGGCUACCGUAUGCGUCUGGGCUCCAGUACAGAUAAAAAGGACACAGGGCGGCUCCAUGUGGAUUUUGCCCAAGCCAGAGAUGACCUGUAUGAGUGGGAGUGUCGUCAGCGCAUGUUUGCCAGAGAGGAGAGGCACCGCAGGAGAAUGGAGGAGGACCGUUUCAGACCCCCCUCUCCUCCACUCAUCGUCCAUUACUCAGACCACGAGUGUAGUCAGCUGGGAGACAAGAUUAAAGAUGAGGCAGCGUUUGCAGAGGCGGUGCGCGUGCUGCUGACGUGGGUGGAACGCGGCGAGGUGAACCGUCGUAACGCCAACAACUUCUAUUCCAUGAUCCAGUCGUCCAACAGCCACAUCCGCCAGCUGAUGUGUCAAAAGGCCACGCACGAGAAGGAGAUGGAGGAAGCCAAGGACAAGUUCAAGAGUGCUCUAUCUGGCAUUCUGGCACAAUUUGAGCAGAUUGUGUCUGUAUUCCACGCUGCUUCCAAACAAAAGGCAUGGGACCAUUUCUCCAAAGCUCAACGCAAGAACCUGGACGUGUGGCGCAAGCAAGCAGAGGAGAUCAGAAACAUGCAGAAUGAAGAGCUGAUGGGGAUCAGACGAGAGGAGGAAAUGGAGAUGUCUGACGAUGACAUGGAGGAUACACACAACCCUGACGAAUCAGGCCCUGUGUCCCAGGCGGAGGCUUUAAAGGAGGAGAAUGACUCUCUGCGCUGUCAGCUGGAUGCCUACAGAAACGAGGUGGAGCUGCUGAAGCAGGAGCAGGGCAAGAACCACGAACACACACCUCCACAACACAGUGAAGAGGACGCCUGCAGGCAGCAACAACUAACCUUUCUACAACAGGCACUACAGGGCAUGCAGAAGCAACUGUUGAAGAUGUGUGAAGAAAUGAAACAGCGGGAGGCAGAGAUGGAGAAGACUGUGGAGGACAAACAGCAGCUGGAGAGUCAAGUAAAGAGCCUCAAGGAAGGACUGCAGAGCCUGAAAACACUGACAACACACACACCACAGCUGGAGAUUUCCCUACAAGAUGACAGAGGGAGCAAGGAGAGGGCUAAUCAAGUCAAUCUGGAGAUGUCCCUGCAAGAGGACAGAACGAGUGAGGAGAGAGCUAAUCAAGUCAAUCAGCAAACCACCCUGCAUCCCACUGCUGGCUUGCCUCUGAAGCUAAGUAGGGUUGGUCCUGCUCGGGUCCCUGGAUGGGAGACCAGAUGCUGCUGGAAGUGGUGUUGGAGGCUCUCUUCCCUCUGGUCUAAAAAAAAUAUCCCAAUGCCCCAGGGCAGUGAUUGGGGAUAUUGCCCUGUCUUUCGGAUGGGAUGUUAAACGGGUGUCCUUACUGUCUGUGGUCACUAAAGAUCACAUGGCACUUAUCGUAUGAGUACGGUUUUAACCCCGGUGUCCUGGCUAAAUUCCCAAUCCAGCCCUCAUACCAUCAUGUCCACCUUACUAUCCCCUUUAACUAUCUCUCAGGUCGUUGUUGUAAAUGCAAAUGUGUUCUGUCAAUUUAUCUGGUAAAAUAAGGGUAAAUAAAUUAAAUCCUGGCUUGGUGAGUGAAAAUAAACGAAAAACCGCCACCUGCCGGAGAAGACAGAUUUCGCGUCGCUUUUUCCUCUCUGAGAGAAUGCAAGGAUGAGUAAGGAGUAUUUUCACAUUUUUAGACCUAAUAAUAAAACUCAAGAUUUUGAGGAAGUCUGUUCCAGUCAUAUUUUAAACAUUUUUUUAUGUGACAUGCAACAGCCAGAUUCGUCAGUGUGUGUUUGUGUGUCCUCUACCAGUCUAACAGUGUUUUCAACUCCUUUACUGUAGGAGGCAUCAGCGUUAGAAGUAGUGUCCUGCAGUCAGGAGAAGGAGAGUCUGCCCCCGGAGAAGAGUCCCUCCAAUCCUGUUCACUCUGAGAGAGAAGCCUUGCUAGUUGGGAUCAUCUCUGCAUUCCUCCAUGUCCAUCCGUUUGGAGCCAGCAUCGAGUACAUCUGCUCCUACCUACAGCAGCUGAACACCAAGAUAAAUACAGGGGAGGUGGAUGCUCUACUGGGUCGGCUGCCCUGUACAUUCAGACAGGAGUUGACGGGGGUAGGCGCCAGCCUGGAGAAACGCUGGAGGUUCUGUGGCUUCGAAGGCAUCAUGAUCACAUAGAGCAUUAUGGGGACACGGAGGAGGACAUCACAGGGACACAGAAGAAACAGCAUUGAGCUCAGGCUGAAUUAUUAGGACACUGUACUGGACCGGUACUGGUCCCUGAGACGUUGCUCACCGGUCCCUGCGAUGGUUAACUGGCCUUGGUUUAGUCAGUUCUUAAGAGCUAGUUAUAAUGUAAACAGUUUGCUGGUCCUAGGUAUAAAUAAGGUUGAGAAACACUGGCAUAAAGCUCUGGCUGUAUUAUUAGGACACAGAAGUAAAAACAUAGAGCUCAGGCUGCAGAGCAGGCUGUGACACUGAGGAAACAGCCUCUCUGUAUGGGUGACAGAGAGGGUGACUCGUCUGCAGGGUGAUGGAGAUCUCUAUAACACCACCAAAUCCACGAUGCUCUUCUCUGUGCCCAAUUUUGCAAAGCCUCAUGGGAUAGAACACCACAUUGGGAGUCCCAAAGGAGUAUCAGUCCGACGGCGCCAGGGCAUUGGCUGUUUGUCCUUCACAUGGGUGGACCAGACCAUUCCCAGAGCCUCUAAUUGGUUAACUCUGCUGUCACUCAGCUAGGAAUGCUACCCAAGGAGGUUAUCAGGAUCUGCUGAACAUUUUCCACCUCCCGCCCCUCUGGCCUCUCUCACUCUCUCUUUUUUUGUUCCUUGUUUUUAUAAUUCUAUGAAUAAAAAUCUAUAUGUUUCUUAAUUUUCUGUAAAGGCUGUUAACAGUUGCAUAGAUUGAUUUGUUUUACUACUCUGUAAAUGCUUGGAUGAUAUUUUUAAAUAAAAAAUAAAAGCAAU